rnacentral:misc_RNA from 1 species
GUGGGAGGGGGCUUGCUCCCGAUUGCGGUGGGUCAGUCAACUCAUGUAUCGGCUGAUUUACCGCAAUCGGGAGCAAGCUCCCUCCCAC